rnacentral:tRNA from 1 species
GGGAGUGUAGCUCAGCAGUAGAGUACUUGCCCUGCAUGCAUGAGGUCCUGGGUUCUGUGCCCAGCACUGCAU